GUUUCUUAUAAAUAAAAAUAAAUAAAAUAGAAAACAUAAAUCCACUUUUUGCUAUAUCUAAUGGAAGCAGAAAAAGCGUGUGGGAGACAGAAAGACGGAAAGAGAAGUGGAAAUAGAAAUCCGUACACUCACCGGUGAAUCUACCAAGGUGAGAAUAUCAUAUAAAGAAAUCGUUAAUGACCUCAAACUCCUCUUGAUUCAUGCAUCUUCCUCCCCCAAUUUCCACCACUUUUUCAAGGGAGUGAAAUUGAGUUUGAAGACUCAGAUCGACACGCUUUCUAUUGAGAAUGGUGAAUUUCUAUUUCUAGUUCCAUUCAACAAGAAAAAAGAUCCACCUAAAACCCCAACACCUGAUUUUUACAAAAACGCCCCCACAAAACCCUCAAUUUCUACCUUGGCAGAUUCAACAUUUUCUGAGAUGAUGCAAGACUUGUCGUUUUUAUCAGAAAAACCAACCACCAGCACAAGCACAAACAGUACUGCUGCUACACAGCCAUAUGUUUUCCGGAUACAAGCGAAAGAGGGGUUUUCAAGAUACUCCUACAAGUAGUAGUAGUGAUCAAAAGUUGUUUUGUUUUUUAUGGAGUGUGUUGCGUUCUCCUAACAAAAACAAUUAUAUUGUCGACGACAAAACAAAAUGUGAAAAAUUUGUUGAGGUUUUGGAUUCAUUUAGUUGCUUGACGAAACAUUCCAGGACAUGUGUGUUUUUGGAUUUGGAUUGUGUGGAGAUAAGAGGCCUUCGUGCUUUUGUCCGGCGUGGCUGAAAAGAAUUAUGCAGGCUUUUGCCUUCUUGAAUAUUUUCACUGCAUUUCUUCAAAUGCAGAGGCGAGAAAUUACCUCGGAUUCAUUGAAGGAGGCCCUAAAGAAUCUUGCGAAAUCUGGUUUGAAAGCUGGUUAUGAGGAUAUAGAGCUUCUUUCUGUUCUCUAUCCUAAGAUAUGUUACACUUGUCAAUUUUACAUUUGAUAGCAUUUUAUCAAAUCUCAGGUUUGUGGUGAUUGGUGAAGCUCAUUAUUACAAAGGUGCAUUCGGAUGCCACACUGCUCUUAUAUUGAGACCAAGGUUGUCAAUUCCGUUUCGUAUAUGGCAGUGAUCCUUCUUUGGUGUUUUCUACUGCAACUUCUGCCAACCCUUGCGAGCAUUGCAUGAUUGAAUGAUCAUUGGUGGCUCAGCUAAAUAAUGGUGCUCACGAAUCAUUGCAAGGGUGUUCCAUGUUUGAAAUACUUUCAAGGGAAAGCGUCCAAAUAUUUAUGCGAGGAUACAUCACGGCUCUAAAAAUUUGGGGUUUUUGAGUAGUCUUUUUAUUGGGCACUUUAUAUAUAUAUGCUUUUAUUAAUUGAUUGAAACAUAAGCGUUUUAAACUUUUAAUGCGUAGGAACUUGCAAAUCUUUCAACAUUGGAGCUGAUUAAAAAUGAUGGAUGUCCCAUCUUCUCGGAAGCUUUUUGUUCUUUGGAAUACUACUUCAUGUCCUAGAAUCAUUGCAGGUGCCAAAUAAAUCUGAGGGUCCCAUGGAUGUUAGUGAGAUCACAGAGAAAAGCAUGAGAUUGAAUGAUCAUUGGUGGCUCAGCUAAAUAAUGGUGCUCACGAAUCAUUGCAAGGGUGUUCCAUGUUUGAAAUACUUUCAAGGGAAAGCGUCCAAAUAUUUAUGCGAGGAUACAUCACGGCUCUAAAAAUUUGGGGUUUUUGAGUAGUCUUUUUAUUGGGCACUUUAUAUAUAUAUGCUUUUAUUAAUUGAUUGAAACAUAAGCGUUUUAAACUUUUAAUGCGUAGGAACUUGCAAAUCUUUCAACAUUGGAGCUGAUUAAAAAUGAUGGAUGUCCCAUCUUCUCGGAAGCUUUUUGUUCUUUGGAAUACUACUUCAUGUCCUAGAAUCAUUGCAGGUGCCAAAUAAAUCUGAGGGUCCCAUGGAUGUUAGUGAGAUCACAGAGAAAAGCAUGAGCCCAAUUUCAGAAGUUCCAUACCUCUUUGCAGAAAUGGUUCAGCAUGGACUUCAUUGCAUUGCCUUUUGCAGAUCUCGUAAACUCACUGAGAUUGUCUUAUUAUGGCCCAUUGAUCUCAUGAAUGUUAAAUUCUUCAAAAGAUAUAUGGCCUUUUGAGCAUCGAUUUUUCUCUUUUCCCCUCUUUUAAUAGUGGAUGCUGAAAGAAUAUCAUCUCUAACUUUAUCACUGUGAUAGGCGUGAGAUUCUUCAAAAGACAGCACCCCGCCUUGUAGGCUCAAUUUGUGCUUAUCGUGCUGGCUAUGUUGUUGAGGUCAGUAAAGGUGUUUUGUUUUCUUUGUCCAUACGCAAUGAUUAUCGUUAGUGAUUUUUAGCCGAAGUUGAUAUAGUUGCAUAACCAGAGUUAAGCUUCCCAUCCAAUAGUUUGUUCUUCUAGGAAAUCAUAUCUGAAUUUGGGCCAAAUUUUCUACUUUUUUUGUGAAGGACAGUUUGCUUUUCAUUGGUUAUUGAAUCUGUUUCUUUAGCUAUAUUGGUGGCUGAAAGGUCCAAUUGCUUCUGCCAAGUUUCUUUACUGUAGCGAGUCAGUGAUGAUUUUCAUCAUGGUGCAAUAAUUUUGAACUUGCUCAUAUUGUCCCCGAUCGUUGCUGGCUUGCACCUUCUCUUUGAUUCGAAAUUAAUAUUCCAAGCUCUCUUCCUUCUUGAAAACUUUCUUUUAUUAUUUUUUCUUACCACCACACAUGGUUGCCAAUGGUAAAUUUUAUCUCUGAAAUCUUAUCAAAAGAUUUUGAAGCUAUUAUAAAGCUGUUGCUUUAUGUAAAGGAGUGUAACAAACUCAUACUUCCGCUCAAUACAAAUUGUUAUUUGUAUUCUGAGGUGAAUUUUUAGCUUGUUCUUGAUGGGAAUCUAUGGAAUAAAACCAAUCUGUUAAGAACCUCUUUACUGUUUGACCGUCAUUUAGAAUUGUUCAAUUGCCUUGGUCAACUGCAGCUCCUUUUAGUUGUCUUUGUUGUCACAUGUUGACUCAGCCCUGAUGCUGGAAGAAAAUUGGACAUGUCAUUUGUUUUUGUUUGAUUCUUAUUUUUUCAGUAUUCUAUUUCUGGUGCUGUUAAGGUGUUCUUUUUGGGUAAUUUAGUGGCAUUACCCAUCUCUACUAAUUUUUCUAUUUUCCCUUGGUUGAUUUUAUAUUUUCCUGUUUGUAUUUCUAAUCUUCACCCACAUAUGAGUUAUGUGCUUUGACGUUGGCUGGGCGCUAGAGCAGGAUCGGAGGCAAUUAGAGAGAGAUUUUUUCAGUGGGAAACUCUCUGGUAUUGCUGCAACAAAUGCUCUUGAGUUGGGUAUUGAUGUUGGCCAUAUUGAUGCCACCCUGCAUUUAGGCUUUCCUGGUAGUUUU